AAUUAUAUUAAUUAUUACCUUGACUCACAACAUUUUUUCUUUUACUGAUUUAUGGUUUAACAGGUUUUACUGAAUAUGAACUUUACCUACUGAUAUUAUAUAAUACAAUAUCAGGUGUGUAAGAUGAUCAUCGGUUUAUGUAGGUAUUAUUGUCAGAUAAUUAGAUAUAAAUAAAAUAAAUGCUGUGAACUCAUUUUGUUUUAGGCUUUCCACACAAAAUUGGAUAUAGAGAUCGUUUGAUCAGAACACUUUAAUAAUUUUUAAUUUUAAAUAACUUUUACGUAUUUAAUGAAAAAAAAAAAUGUGUGUUUGCAGUUUGUAAUCAGUUUAUUAUUAUGAUGUGAGGUAUAAUAUCGCAUGAUCAUACUAUUUACAGGUAAACUGAUCUGAUUAAUUAGGUAAACCUAGAUAAAAUAAAUGUAAAUGUAUUGUAGUCGUAUUUUUUUUUUGAUUUGCCACAAUAAUUGCGUUGCGCUUAGAGGUCGUUUGAACAGAUUACCUACAUUAAUGAAUUUAUAAUGAUUUUUUUUUUCAUAAUAAUUGUUAGCUUUUUAUCUACUUAUUAAUUCUGAGUCUAUAUAAAAACAACAAGUUUAAAGUACAAUAAUAUUCAUAUCCAUCGGAUCGGACAAUCUAAUAUCAGUAAAUUUAUCGAGUAGUGGCGAACGGUAUUCGUUCAAUGACGUUAUUUAUAUUUCUAAUAAUUACUGUACAUCGCACAUAAAUAUAGAUUUAUUUUACAAUGAGCUCUAGUGUUUGUCGAUCUAUCAUUCUAACCUUUCAUUACUUGUGCGAAACUGUAUUACAUUCACAGUUUUUAAUAGUCAAUAAACAUUCAAUAAUAAUUAAUUUAAAUACAUAGUAAUUUUAUAUCAAGUCAAAAAAACCAGUUUAAUUCUUAUUCAAUUUGUGUUUGUGACAAAUUUUACAAGUAAUCAAUUUACAGAUAAUAUGUGUUGUAACGAUCAAAAUCAAACCGUCGUUAAUCACAUUCACAGUUUACGUUUAUUAAAGUUAUAU